AUGAGACCGCGGUCGAUGGCGACCAAGGGAUCAUCACAUCGCUCUCGCAGCAACCGCCGGCGCAGCAAGAGAGCGCGGCGGCCUUCCAGGGAAGCAGAGCCUACGCCGUCGGGUCCAACGGGCGUGCACCACAUCCCCGACCACCUCCUCGAGCUCGUGCUCCUGCGCGUGGGCACGCCCCUCGCCCUACUCCGCGCCGCCUCCACGUGCAAGCGCUGGCGCCGCCUAAUCUUCACGGACGAUGCCCCGUUCCCGGACCACCGGUUCCGCCGCUCCCUCCGCGCGGCCCGCGUAGCCGGCCACUACCACGUCGACGGGAACAACCACAUCUUCGUGCCGGACCCCUCAGCGGCCGAUGGCCUCGAUAGGCGCCACUUCUCCCUCGACUUCCUCCCGGCCGUCCCCCACGGCUCCCUGCCCUGGGAGCUCGCCGACAGCCGCGGUGGCCUCCUCCUCUUCUACAGGAGGGACGUUGUCUACUACCGGAUGGGUCAUGUGUGGGAAGGGGACCCCGAGUACCUCCACUUCCCUGACAUGGUCGUCUGCGACCCGCUCAACCGGAGGUACCAGGGGAUCCUCUACUGGGAGGAGAUGUGGCCCUACCAGUGCCUUGGUCUGUUCCUGCUCGACGCCGCCGCCGCCGACGAGCCUGCUGCAGGUGGUAGCUCCAUCGGCAUGUCCAACUUUCGGGUGGUCGCCGUGGUCUACGAAAGCGAUGUUUUCGAGGAUGACCGUGGCGCCCCGCGCGCCUGCGUGUUCUCCUCCGGCGGCGACGGCGGCUGGCGGCAGGAGAGCACGGCCGGCGACGACGUCCCCAUCCCAGAGUACCGUUCGAUCAGUUUCGCAGGACGCGCACGUUCAUCCUUCUUCUGGCGGAUGGAGCACGAGGGUGCCGUGCUCGCUCUCGACGAUGCCACCAUCCAGUUCUCGCUCGUCACGUUCCCGUCUACUGUCGUGGGGACGCCGGAGGAAUCUUCAGCCUUCUGGGCUAUCGGCGGCGGCGACGGCGCGGCGCGCAUUGUACGCGUGAUGGCCAACAAUGACCUCACGGUGUUUCAACAGCUCCAGAGCAGCGGCGAGUGGGUGGUGGAGAAGCUCGUGAGGCUGCCGGAGGCGACUAGCGGGUUGUCGGGGCGUGAGGAGACGUAUUUCCAGCAACCAGCAAAGAUUGUGGCGACGACUACGAGGCACGUCCUCGUGACGCCGCAGGAGGAGACCUGGAUUUUCUCCGUCGACCUUGAGACGCUGGAGGUGGACCGGGCGCAUGAGAGGAACCGGUAUGCCGGUGCCGCGUACCCAUUCGAGCUGCCAUGGGCACCGGCCUUGCGAGUUGACCAUCGCCGGCAUCGUGGCAGGAUGGAUUUAACGAUUUAA
rnacentral:rRNA from 1 species